rnacentral:lncRNA from 1 species
ACUACUACAAAAAAGCUCAUAGACUACGUUUUUUAGCCGUAGUCUAUGUGAUUCAACAACCGUAGUACUAGAUGGUGUAGUCUAUUCCCAUCAAUAUAGACUACGUUGAUUACACCGUAGUCUAUAGUUACUUAUCUCUACACUUUUAGACGCACAUACACUACAUGAAUCAGACGUAGGUUUGUCAACUAGAAAAGAUAGUCUAUAGUAUUUAUAGACUACAUCAAUGGAUAUUUAUGACUACGGUUUUCUAUUUAGAUUGAUAGUCUUCGAGGUAUUUAGACUA